rnacentral:ncRNA from 19 species
UGAAAGCUGUGCGACUGGCGGAUAGUGGAGAAACCACGGGGAGCACGGCAGCAGAAAUGCCGGCCGCCUGGGCAACUUUU